AAAAGGUAAUUAAAAAAUAAUUUUAGUUUGUCAAACUAAGUUUGCGUUUACAUUACGCCCUUUUUA
rnacentral:tRNA from 1 species